rnacentral:rRNA from 1 species
UAAGGAAUAUUGGGCAAUGGGCGCAAGCCUGACCCAGCUAUGCCGCGUGCAGGAAGACGGCCUUAUGGGUUGUAAACUGCUUUUAUGCGAGACUAAAACCCUCAACGAGUUUGGGGCUUGCAGGUAUCGCAUGAAUAAGCAUCGGCUAACUCCGUGCCAGCAGCCGCGGUAAUACGGAGGAUGCGAGCGUUAUCCGGAUUUAUUGGGUUUAAAGGGUGCGCAGGCUGAUACUUAAGUCAGUGGUGAAAUACUCCGGCUCAACUGGAGUGCUGCCGUUGAUACUGGGUAUCUUGAGAGUAAUUGACGUGGGCGGAAUGUGUCAUGUAGCGGUGAAAUGCAUAGAGAUGACACAGAACACCGAUAGCGAAGGCAGCUCACGAAGUUACCUCUGACGCUCAUG